rnacentral:misc_RNA from 1 species
GAUGAAGAACGUAGCGAAAUGCGAUAAGUAAUGCGAAUUGCAGAAUUCAGUGAGUCAUCGAAUCUUUGAACGCACAUUGCGCCCUGUGGUAUUCCGCAGGGCAUGCCUGUUCGAGCGUCAUUUCAACCCUCAAGCCUCGCUUGGUGUUGGGCCCUGCCCGCCGCGGCCGGCCCUAAAGAUAGUGGCGGCGCCGCCUGGCCCUCAGCGUAGUACAGCUCUCGCUCCAGGGUCCGGCGGCAGCCUGCCAGAACCCCCCAACUCUGUGGUUGACCUCGGAUCAGGUAGGGAUACCCGCUGAACUUAAGCAUAUCAUAAGCGGAGGA